rnacentral:rRNA from 1 species
GUUUGAUCCUGGCUCAGAUUGAACGCUGGCGGCAUGCUUUACACAUGCAAGUCGAACGGCAGCACGGGGGCAACUCUGGUGGCGAGUGGCGAACGGGUGAGUAAUAUAUCGGAACGUACCCGGAAAUGGGGGAUAACGUAGCGAAAGUUACGCUAAUACCGCAUAUGCCCUGAGGGGGAAAGCGGGGGAUUCGCAAGAACCUCGCGUUUUCGGAGCGGCCGAUAUCGGAUUAGCUAGUAGGUGAGGUAAAGGCUCACCUAGGCGACGAUCCGUAGCUGGUCUGAGAGGACGACCAGCCACACUGGAACUGAGACACGGUCCAGACUCCUACGGGAGGCAGCAGUGGGGAAUUUUGGACAAUGGGCGCAAGCCUGAUCCAGCCAUGCCGCGUGAGUGAAGACAGGCCUUCGGGUUGUAGAGCUCUUUCAGCCGGAAAGAAAACGCACGGGUUAAUAACCUGUGUGGAUGACGGUACCGGAAGAAGAAGCACCGGCUAACUACGUGCCAGCAGCCGCGGUAAUACGUAGGGUGCGAGCGUUAAUCGGAAUUACUGGGCGUAAAGCGUGCGCAGGCGGUUUUGUAAGACAGAUGUGAAAUCCCCGGGCUUAACCUGGGAACUGCAUUUGUGACUGCAAGGCUAGAGUACGGCAGAGGGGGGUAGAAUUCCACGUGUAGCAGUGAAAUGCGUAGAUAUGUGGAGGAAUACCGAUGGCGAAGGCAGCCCCCUGGGUCGAUACUGACGCUCAUGCACGAAAGCGUGGGGAGCAAACAGGAUUAGAUACCCUGGUAGUCCACGCCCUAAACGAUGUCAACUAGGUGUUGGGGGAGGAGACUUCCUUAGUACCGCAGCUAACGCGUGAAGUUGACCGCCUGGGGAGUACGGUCGCAAGAUUAAAACUCAAAGGAAUUGAC